UUGGGUUUUGCUGUCUUCAUUUUAAAAGCACUGGAUUUUGGCUGUGGUAAGCAUUGAGUAACUUUUAGGUCACCUCAAAGCCUUUUGUAAAUUUUGCCUGUCAAGAUCUAGGGGUACUUUUUUUUAACUUUUUAUUGAUUUUUUUUGUGACUUUCACAUCAUGUACCCCAGUCCCACUCAUCUCCCUGACCCCUUGUAUCUGCCUCCUGCCCUUGCAAUCUUCCUCCCUCCACCAAAAUAAUAAAAACCACACAAACAAAGCAAAAUAAAACAUAGAAAACAUCUUGUCAUGGAAGCUGUAGUGUAUCACAGAGUGUCCCCACAACAUACUCCUCUGUCCACAGAUCUUCACUUGUGAAUGUUCAUUGCAAUGAGUCAUUGGUCUAGUUCAAGGUCUUUGGUUUCUGUGAAACCAUCAGUAUUGAAUCCUCAUUGGGCCUGAUUAUCCUUUUGUUGCCCUGUGUCAUGGAAAUCCUGCAAUUUUGAAUCAACAGGACUGACACUCAACAGUUCACAGAUAAUGCAGAUUUGGGGUGGGCUAUAUCAAGGCCCUAGAUCUGGGCCUGGGUGGUAGCUGGGCUGGUCAGCCCACUGGCCCUGGAUCUGGGACUGGGUGGUAGCUAGGCUGGUAGGUCGCUGGCUCUCCCUUAUCUGUACCACCAGGGCACGCUCUUGAGUACUGUUCUGGCUAGGCUGCCCAAUGCUGUCAUCAACAGGAGGCAGGGCCAGCUCUUGCUCACUCUCACCCUCUGGCCGGGCUCUCACACACCCCACACUCCCAGCCCCCACACCCAUUGGGAGGGCCGGCUCUCCUGUUCUCCUGCUCUGUCCACCCCGGGGCAGCUCUUAGACUGUGCUGGGGACAGUGGUUUAAGGGCACUGACUUUCAUCUCCCUUGGCAUCUCUGCUGUUGCCCUGCCAUUUGCCCUAGGGAGAGCUUUCCACUCAAAUUGCUUGGAGCAUGUGUGCUAUGAGGAUACUUAAGCUGGUCAUUUUUUACUUAGCCUUGUGAGAAAGUCCAUCACAUAGAGCACUUCCAUCAGCAGAGACAUCAGGGUACUGUCACACAGGUUUCGGGACUCUGACAACACAAGUCUUUCUUUCAGAAACUUAACCUGCAAUGUUGGAGCUGGCUCACCCUCCAGAGCACUGGGUCUUGAUGCACAGCCCAUUUUCUAGUGUGUGUGAGCAAUGCCUCAUGUGUGUGAGCAAAUGCCUCAUGUGUGUUGGGUUUUCUAGUUUCUCAUGACAGGAAGUGCUUGUGACUGCAUCGUGACCAAAUCUGUGGGGUCUGGAACUGGCAUUUUAUUGCGAGGCUUGUGUCUUCUAGGGUGUGUAGGGCUGAGCCUCUGAUCAGACUACAGCCGCACUGUCCUCUCAGUGCUAGGUUUUGGUGCUUUGAGCAAUGAAUGAAGGAACAAUAAGGAGAGCAGCUUUCCACAUCUCAGCUGGCAAGAGCAGCCUAAGGAUCUUGGGACACUCCUCAGCCUUCUGUGCCUCCUGGAGUCAGUGGCAGAAUUACACACUUCUAGAAGCUCAUUUUCUCUCAGUUCAUAAACAUCAGAGAGGAAAGGUUUCUCAGACUGGCAGAGUCUGUUCCUCAUUAAUAAAGAACUAAUUAUGUGCUGUUUUCUCCUUAAAGAAAUACUAAAAUAAAUUU
rnacentral:lncRNA from 1 species